CCAUUUCCCAGCACCUCAGGCCGUUUGCCUUGAUAGUGAUAUUUUACCCAGCGAGACAGACAACUAUUCCCAUGGAUGCUUGAUAUUUUUAGUGGCAAAUGCAUAACACACAUAUACAUAAAUGGGAGAGAUUUGCCUCCAGAAACCAACUCUGAGAUCGGCAGAGGUAGCUGAGUAGGAAAAUCUCCAAGUCCUCUCACAAACACACCAAGAUCACAAUGAUCUGCAGAAGAGCCAUCGGUGAGAAAGACUGGAACCUUUCAGAAAAGAUCUGAAACUAACAACAUCAAGAAGAAACUAUGAUGAGAUGGGGAGGAGGGACAGACUGGCAGCAUACUUAAGCCCCACACGCCCAGGUGUGUGACUCACAAACUGGAGAAUUAUAUUGCAGAGGUUCUUCCUAAAGAAGCGAGAGUCCUGAGCCCCAUGUCAGGGUCCCUCACCCAAAGGUCUUGCACAGGGAAGAUGAGCUACCAGACUUUGAAGGCCAGUGGAGUUUAAUUUCAGGAUUCCCACGGGACUGGGGGAGACAGAGAUUUCACCCUUAAAAGGCCCACACUAAAUCCCACAUGCCCAAAACAAAAGCAGUAAUUUGAUAAAACUUUAGCCAGUCCUACCUGCUGGUCUUGGAGAGUCUCCUGGAGACGUGGAAGUCGCCUGUGGCUCAUGCUGGGGACAUAGGCACUGGCAGCAACUGAUCCUGGGAGCGAAACCUGGCGUGGAUGCUGGUGCACGCAGAGGCUGACGGUGAAUUUCAAAACCUUCCCUCCAGUACAUCAGUGUCAACACCUGCCUCUACCCAAUAACCUGUAGGCCCCAGUGCUGAGAGACUUCACAUCAAGCAAUUAACAUGGCAGGGAUACAGCUGCUCCCAUCAGCAGACAGGCUGUGUCCAGACCUGGCUGUGGGUUCAGGAGGUCUUAAGUACUUUAAGACUCUGCGCUUCCACUGUAGGGGGCUUGGGUUCAAUCCCUGGUCAGGGAAGUUUCGCAUGCUGUGGUGUGGCCCCAAAAUAAAGCCUGAUGGGACUUGGGCUCCAUAUUAAAAAAAAAAAUAUUAAAGUGAUAGAAAAUACAAUUUAAAAAAAUAAAGAGUUUAUCCCCUGCCUUAAAUUUAAAAAACAACAACAAAAAAAGGUGGCUGAAUUAUUUGUUGGCAGUGUAAGAUUUUAAAAUGUAUAAAUCUUUUCUUUGAAUAUAAAUUACUUACAGAAUAGAUUUUCACCCUCUGCAUGUUCUUACACACAGCAGUUAACUGCUGAGGCUUAAGGUUUACACAGUGGUGAUGACAGUAGUUUCAAUAGAUAACUUCUGGACAGCUUAGGAUAGCUCCCCAUAGUUCACUGUAAUUGAAUAAGAUUAGGAU
ensembl:lncRNA